rnacentral:rRNA from 1 species
GAUGAACGCUGGCGGCGUGCCUAAUACAUGCAAGUCGAGCGAACUUUUGGGAGCUUGCCCCCACAAGUGAGCGGCGGACGGGUGAGUAACACGCGGGGAACCUGCCUGUAAGACUGGGAUAACAUCGCGAAAACGGGGCGAAAACCGGAUAACAUUUAAGACAACAUGGGCUUCAAUUAAAAAGUGGGGUUUAGCUACCACUUAUAGAUGGACCCGCGGCGCAUUAGCUAGUUGGUGAGGUAACGGCUCACCAAGGCGACGAUGCGUAGCCGACCUGUGAGGGGGGUCCGCCACCACGGGAACGGGGACCGGGCCAAGCUCCUUCGGGGGGCCGCCGUAAGGGAACCUCCGCCAAUGGCCGAAGUCUGACGGGGCCACGCCGCCUGAGCGGAGGAGGCCUUCGGGUCGUUAAGCUCCUUUGUUUAGGGAGAACCAGUAGCGUUCGUAUCGAGCGGUGCCUUGACGGUACCUAACCAGAAAGCCACGGCUAACUACGUG